GGCCUUAAUGUAACUCUGCACAUCAGUUCAAGUUGAAGUUGUCUGUCUACAUUCUUCUAUAUAUAGUCUAUGCAGUUGCAGAACAGGAUACAUAAAUUAAAGGGAUCUAUUCAACUUUAAAGUGCUUGAAGAAUAUCAAACUAUGGCUGUUGCCCCAAAGAAGCAUACUCUUCUCAUGGCUUCUUUCUUGCUUUGCUUUCUCAUAGUCACCGCUCAAGCAAGAAGCACGCCAAGGGAAAGUAGAGGAGUUGAGAAGGCAGAUGAAAAAAUGCUAUCAACAACAAAAGAGGUGCCAACAAGUGAAGAAUUGGAAAUGAUGGAUUACAGUCCAGCUAGAAAGAAAACUCCAAUUCAUAACUAGCAAGAGUUGUGUGAUGGAAUCCAUCAGAUGAGUGCAGGCAUAUUAUAUCCUGUACUACUUAGUAUGCAAGCUUAUGCUUAUAGAUUCUGGCAGGUUAGAGGAAAGUCACAAAAUUAGUUAGAAGAAAAGUAGAAGAGAAGAGAUAUAUUUUGCAUUAGGGUUUACAGAUAUGGUGAACUAUGAAACUUUUCUUUGUGAAGAAGCUGACUGUAUAUGGCCUUACAUCAUUGUACAUGAAUUAUGAGUGCUGUCAAAAGGGAGAUUUCUGAAGUUUUUGGACA